UACAGAGGGUGCAAGCGUUGUUCGGAAUUAUUGGGCGUAAAGCGCGGGCAGGCGGCCCCGUAAGUCGGCCGUGAAAGCGCCGGGCUCAACUCGGCGAGGACGGGCGAGACUGCGGGGCUCGAGCAAGGCAGAGGGCGGUGGAAUUCCGGGUGUAGUGGUGGAAUGCGUAGAGCUCCGGAGGAACACCAGUGGCGAAGGCGGCCGCCUGGGCCUUUGCUGACGCUGAGCCGCGAAAGCGUGGGGAGCGAGCCGG
rnacentral:rRNA from 1 species